GGGGAUGUAGCUCAGUGGUAGAGCGCUCGCUUUGCAUGUGAGAGGCCGUGGGUUCAAAUCUCAUCAUCUCCA